UGGGAGUUUGUGUGCCUGCUUUAAAUAUGGAUGAACAUCUAUAUGUAGGCUUUAGGUGGGCAAGCAUUGAGUUGUAGGCUGCCCAUAAGGGACCUACAAACAUCU